rnacentral:lncRNA from 1 species
GACAGACAAAAAGGCGGCAACAACAUCUCCACUUGCUCACUCCUCUUGCUAUAAAAAUAGCUUACAUGUCCAAUGUUAACAGGUCAAUAUUAUUGUCUUCUUAUGAGAAAUACAUAAAUUCGUUUAAAACCUAUUAAUGCCCAAAUACUCAGAACUGUCACUCAUUUUAUAGUUAUUUCUACAAGUCUUCAUGUAUUUGUUUUAAAGGUCCGGUAAGAGCAACAAGUUUAGAAAUAAAAAAGAAACAUAUAACAAACAUAAUAAGGAUAGUAAAAAUUAUUACUUAAUACACAAAACUUACACAACUAAACUAUAGAAAAAAUAUUCAGAAAGAAAAGGUACUCUCACUCUUAAUAGUACAAGAAACAAAUUAAAAAGACAAACAAACAAUAAGUCUCAGUGACACUGCAAACAACACCACGAACUAUAUCAAUCACAUUACUAACACAGUUUAGUACUUCAUAAGUGGAGAAUAAUGCAUACACAAUUCAUCA